AAAACGACUCUCGGCAACGGAUAUCUCGGCUCUCGCAUCGAUGAAGAACGUAGCGAAAUGCGAUACUUGGUGUGAAUUGCAGAAUCCCGUGAAUCAUCGAGUCUUUGAACGCAAGUUGCGCCCGACGCCAUUCGGCCGAGGGCACGUCUGCCUGGGUGUCACGC
rnacentral:rRNA from 1 species